rnacentral:misc_RNA from 1 species
GAAAUGCGAUAAGUAGUGUGAAUUGCAGAAUUCAGUGAAUCAUCGAAUCUUUGAACGCACCUUGCGCUCCUUGGCAUUCCGAGGAGCAUGCCUGUUUGAGUGUCAUUGAAUCUCUCUCAGAACCCUUCCUGGGUUUGGAUUUGUGGAGGAUGCAUUGCUACCCAAAAUGCUGGGUUUGUGCUUGCUUCUCUGAAAUGGAUUGGCAUAAGGUGGCGAUUCACGUCGGUAUGAUACAAUCAAUGUCUUACCUGGUCGUGAGCCAUGCCAGCCCAGCCAGAAAUGACGACGGUCAGUCUCACACAAUUUGACCUCAAAUCAGGCAGGACUACCCGCUGAACUUAA